rnacentral:misc_RNA from 1 species
AAGUCGUAACAAGGUUUCCGUAGGUGAACCUGCGGAAGGAUCAUUAGAAGGGAGCUAGUCUAUGAUUGCUUGAUUGCGUUAGCAAUCAUUAGCGAUCAUGGAUUAAGCGAGCUUACCAUGUGUGAACAGUAUAUGAAGGUGGUCUUUAAGAGUAAGGAAGGGACUUGACCUUUCCUUCACUCUAAGGACCACCCUUUUACCAAACUGCCUUAUACCUUACUGAGCUUGAUAACAUAAGACCUGAAAUCUUUUAGCAAUGGAUCUCUAGGCUCUU